GAUAUAAUACUUGAUAGUGGUGCAGUAUUCUAGUCAGGUAAGCUUUUUUUAAAGGCGGGGCUAAAAAUCCGUUACAGGGCAUAUCGAUGAAGUUCUUGGUGCUUGCCUAUGACGCCCAGUCAUGGGUUUGUGCUGGGAGUAAGGAGGCUGGGGCAACCGCAAUGGCAUGCGCAACUGACCCUACCUUCGUGGAGACCAUUAUCUGUGAGCCAGGUUAGAUACCUAGUUUACGGCAAUGGGUUAAACCUGCAUUGUGGUACAAAAGCUAUGUGCAGUGUAGCCUGCCUUGAGUGAAGUGGGUAGAGGACAGGAAAAGUAAAAUUUUAGGCCAAAAAUUUUAUUCAGAUGCCUUCUGAAACCUAUUUUGCAAAAGAGGCUAAGAAAGAGCCUAACUGUUGAGGAAAACUCCUAGACUGUUCGAAAGAGGUAUGAUGGGGAUUGCAAUGCGGACUUAGUGGUAAUCUAGUCCUAAUUAUGGUGACGUGUUAGGUGAGUUAUCAAAAGGAAACUGCCGUUACGGCGACGUUUCGGUUAACUCAUGGGAAAUCCUACUGGACCUAUGCCGCAAGAUUUACUCAACAUACUGCCACUUCUUUUGUAAUGCAU
rnacentral:sRNA from 1 species